rnacentral:rRNA from 1 species
UACGGAGGGGGCUAGCGUUGUUCGGAAUUACUGGGCGUAAAGCGCACGUAGGCGGCUUUGUAAGUUAGAGGUGAAAGCCCAGGGCUUAACCCUGGAAUUGCCUUUAAGACUGCAUCGCUAGAAUCGUGGAGAGGUGAGUGGAAUUCCGAGUGUAGAGGUGAAAUUCGUAGAUAUUCGGAAGAACACCAGUGGCGAGGGCGACUCACUGGACACGUAUUGACGCUGAGGUGCGAAAGCGUGGGGAGCAAACAGG